rnacentral:lncRNA from 1 species
AAAAAAGCCCCUUUCUAAAACCCUAGCCGUUUCUUCUCCCUGAGCACCAUAGCCGCAUACCAUUUCGCAGCUCUCUCUCUCCCUUUAACCUGUUGUCUCUCUAUGUCCUCUCUCUAACCCCAUCUCUAUCUCUCUAACCCUCUCUCUCUCUCUCUGUCUCUAACUUGUUGUCCCUUACUUCACUACCCCACUGUAGUGCCUCUCUCCUCUGAGAAGAAAAAGCAGGCAAGGAAGAAAAUAUAAAACAAAUAAGAGGAAGGCAAGUUCUUUGUGGUUUCCUUAUUUUUGUAAGUAACAUAUCGUUUGGUUCUCAUAUGGGUUUUAUGUCUUAUUUAAUUGCAGGGGGAAUUUUUGGUUUCAAUUGGUAUUGCGAUUAUUUGUCAUUUUAACGUUUGUUGCUGUUUAAAAUGUUUUUAGGUUAGACUUUCCUCUUUCAUCUCCAUGAAAAUUCAUGUGCUUUUACAAGUGCAUGUACUUGAAAAUUUAUUAUCAUUGGCCCGUCUAAGUUUAAUGAUGGAUUCUAACUGUUAUAUUUAUUUAUUUAUCUUAUUAUCUUCUCUCUCGGGACUUUUAAUGCUGUAAUAUAUAGCUUUUUGUGAGUUUUAUUGAUGUCGAACUAUUAUCAUGGAUCCGAUGAACUGGUCCUAAGCAGAGUGAAACAAUAAUACGUUUAAUCCAAGCUCAUAAAAUAAGAAAAUAUUUUUAAUCAAGUUAGAUCUCCAAUGUUAUCCUAUUUCUCAAAAAAAAAAAUAAAAAAAAUUCAAGCUUUACAUAUGGAAGCUAAUCCACAGAUAAUACUAUUAUAUCUUUUAUUGAUGCUAGCUCUCAUCAUAUAUACAUAUUAUCAUUUUAAUGUGGCUGCAUUUCCUUAGACUCUUCUUGAAAUUGAUAAAAUCUAAAUGGUUUUUGUUUUUUUUAGUGUAAUGGGUUCAACAUUUUUGGAUAAAAGCAUGAAUUUGAUUGAAAGAGAAAAGGGAACAAGAUGUUUAGAUGUCAUCAAGGUAAUGGCCAUACAUAUUUGUAUAUCUUUCUAGGAUCAAUAUUUUUAGUCAACCGGAAGUAAUUCUGAAAAUGGUAUCAAAUCAUCACUU